GCACCACCACCACGCUGAGCGCUCGUGGUUCUGCAAUAACCGCCGUCCUCGUCGUCCACCCUUGCACGCAACACCACCUCGCCGCACCGCCGCGUGCCGCCCAGCCUUCCUCGCCGCACCGCCGCGUGCCGCCCAGCCUUCCUCGUCGCCGGCAGUUCUCCCCCUUCCCUUAUUCGGCGGAGAAUUCUCUUUAGGCGACUUUUGAAAGUGUUAAAGUGGCCUAUCAGUUUGUUUACACAAGGUACGUACAUACCUGUGUGCUUGGAAUGUGUGCUAAUUGUUGAAACCAUGUGUAUUAUUGAUGAACCUGGUUAUGUUAAUGUUGUUGAUGAACUUAGUCGGGUUGAAACUGCAUGUUUGAUACUGUUGGAUGAACAUAUUAAACCUUUAUUGCAUUUUGAGGAUUAUAACAUGUUAGUAUGGAAGAUUGAUGCAAACAUGUUUGAUUGGGAACACUAGAUUGUUUAGUAUAUAAUUCAGAUCAGUUAAUUGUUGUUCCCUUUUUAGCUUUUCACUACUUUAUGAGGGCGGAGGACCUCAUUUAGUAAGUUGAAACCUUAUACCCAUAUU